rnacentral:lncRNA from 1 species
UUUAUAUCGGGUGGAAAAGAGAUUUUGAUUGAAUAUACGAGGAUAAGAAACUUUAUUAGCAAAAUUGGGCUUAAGGUUUUCGGGCUGGUUGUUUAGGCCCAAUAGUUUUUAGUGUAAAAUGAGUUAGAUCAUUAAAUUUGAAAUUUAAAAUCGGUUUGUCAGUCAAAAUUGUAAAGUGAAUCCUAUAUUUUCUGAUAAUUUUAGCUUAAGGAAUGGCUAGAAAAUUUGAUUUGACGACUACGAACAUGUAAAAACUCGUUAGUUUAUUAAUAAUAACUGAAUUUAAAUAUUUAGGAUCAAUAGUUUGAGUCUAACAAGUCAUUAGUACUAGCAAUCGUUACACUUUAUCAUAAAAAUUACU